rnacentral:rRNA from 1 species
GACAGAGGGUGCGAACGUUGUUCGGAAUUACUGGGCGUAAAGCGCAUGUAGGCGGCAGCGCAAGUCGGGCGUGAAAUCCCACGGCUCAACCGUGGAAGUGCACUCGAAACUGCGCAGCUAGAGUCCUGGAGAGGAAGGUGGAAUGCUUGGUGUAGAGGUGAAAUUCGUAGAUAUCAAGCGGAACACCGGUGGCGAAGGCGGUUCUCUGGGCAUGUCCUGACGCUGAGGAGCGAAAGUGUGGGGAGCGAACAGG